AGAUUAAGUUAUUAAGGGCGCACGGUGGAUGCCUUGGCACUAGAAGCCGAUGAAGGACGUUACUAACGACGAUAUGCUUUGGGGAGCUGUAAGUAAGCUUUGAUCCAGAGAUUUCCGAAUGGGGAAACCCAGCACGAGUUAUGUCGUGUUAUCUGCAUGUGAAUACAUAGCAUGCAAGAAGGCAGACCCGGAGAACUGAAACAUCUUAGUACCCGGAGGAAGAGAAAGAAAAAUCGAUUCCCUGAGUAGCGGCGAGCGAAACGGGAAGAGCCCAAACCAAUAAGCUUGCUUAUUGGGGUUGUAGGACACUCUGUACGGAGUUACAAAAGAAUUGGUUAGACGAAUAACCUGGAAAGGUUAAUCAGAGAAGGUAAUAAUCCUGUAGUCGAAAACGAAUUCUCUCUUGAGUGGAUCCUGAGUACGACGGAGCACGUGAAAUUCCGUCGGAAUCUGGGAGGACCAUCUCCUAAGGCUAAAUACUCUCUAGUGACCGAUAGUGAACCAGUACCGUGAGGGAAAGGUGAAAAGUACCCCGGAAGGGGAGUGAAAGAGAACUUGAAACCGUGUGCUUACAAGUAGUCAGAGCCCGUUAAUGGG
rnacentral:rRNA from 1 species